CCUACGGGAGGCAGCAGUGAGGAAUAUUGGUCAAUGGCCGAGAGGCUGAACCAGCCAAGUCGCGUGAGGGAAGACGGCCCUACGGGUUGUAAACCUCUUUUGUCGGGGAGCAAAGCGAGUCACGUGUGACUCAUUGAGAGUACCCGAAGAAAAAGCAUCGGCUAACUCCGUGCCAGCAGCCGCGGUAAUACGGAGGAUGCGAGCGUUAUCCGGAUUUAUUGGGUUUAAAGGGUGCGCAGGCGGAGGUGCAAGUCAGCGGUCAAAUUGCGGGGCUCAACCCCGUACUGCCGUUGAAACUGCAUCCUUGGAGUGCGCGGGAAGGAUGCGGAAUGCGUGGUGUAGCGGGGAAAUGCAUAGAUAUCACGCAGAACGCAGAGGGCGAAGGCAGCAUACCGGCGCGCAACUGACGCUCAUGCACGAAAGCGGGGGUAUCGAACAGGAUGAGAUACCCGAGUAGUC
rnacentral:rRNA from 1 species